GGGGAGGCAGGUAGCCUAGUGGUUAGAGGGGGGCGGCAGGUAGCCUAGUGGUUAGAGGGGGGAGGCAGGUAGCCUAGUGGUUAGAGGGGGCGGCAGGUAGCCUAGUGGUUAGAGGGGGAGGCAGGUAGCCUAGUGGUUAGAGGGGGGGGCGGCAGGUAGCCUAGUGGUUAGAGGGGGCGGCAGGUAGCCUAGUGGUUAGAGGGGGCGGCAGGUAGCCUAGUGGUUAGAGGGGAGGCAGGUAGCCUAGUGGUUAGAGGGGAGGCAGGUAGCCUAGUGGUUAGAGGGGCGGCAGGUAGCCUAGUGGUUAGAGGGGGAGGCAGGUAGCCUAGUGGUUAGAGGGGGAGGCAGGUAGCCUAGUGGUUAGAGGGGGAGGCAGGUAGCCUAGUGGUUAGAGGGGGCGGCAGGUAGCCUAGUGGUUAGAGGGGGAGGCAG
ensembl:lncRNA